GGCUCAGGAUGAACGCUGGCGGCGUGCUUAACACAUGCAAGUCGAACGGGAAUGUUUCGCUGAUGCGAUUUCGGUCAAAUCUUGAAGCAUUUUAGUGGCGGACGGGUGAGUAACGCGUGAGCAACCUGCCUUUCAGAGGGGGAUAACGUUUGGAAACGAACGCUAAUACCGCAUAACGUAUACGGAUGGCAUCGCCUGUAUACCAAAGGAGGAAUCCGCUGAAAGAUGGGCUCGCGUCUGAUUAGAUAGUUGGUGAGGUAACGGCUCACCAAGUCUGCGAUCAGUAGCCGGACUGAGAGGUCGAACGGCCACAUUGGAACUGAGAUACGGUCCAGACUCCUACGGGAGGCAGCAGUGGGGAAUAUUGGGCAAUGGGCGAAAGCCUGACCCAGCGACGCCGCGUGAAGGAUGAAGGUCUUCGGAUUGUAAACUUCUGUCUACAGGGACGAACAAAUGACGGUACCUGUAAAGAAAGCCACGGCUAACUACGUG
rnacentral:rRNA from 1 species